AUUCAGAGAUGCACAGAAGUGAAAACCAGAUGUCAAACUUAAAAGCCUAAAUACAAAAGUACCUACAGCUCUACAAGUGAAGAAAUCUGACCGCACAUGUUCGUGGGUGCCGACCCCGGUGCUGUGCCUGUGGUGGAGGUGUUGUGUCACCAGCCUGAGCAGAGCCAGCCCCUGCCUGCCCUGCAGCUGCCUUUCAUCUCUCCACUCUGCUCAGAGCAGCCAGAAUCACCAGCUGGUGAAGGAAAGGAUGCUGAGACAGCCCCCCCGAGCUGGUGUCCAUCCCUCCCUCACCGUGUGGCCUUAUCCGCUCUCCAGCACUCAUCUCACAGCUCCAUCACCUUUCCUUAGGAUUUUACUGCUCUGGCAGCUAACUGGGUUAAGGUUACCCUUGAGGUUUCUGAUGAAGUGUGAAGGAAGUGAGGACACACAUGCCACUGCUGUUGUGGUGGUGCUUUCUUGUUCAUUGAUUCCUGUGGCUCCUAUCCAUUGGUGAAGAUGCUGAGAGCAGCUGGAGGAAUGAGGGCAUUUUGACUGUCCCAUGCUGUAGAAGGCCUAAUUCUUAAUUACUAAUUAAUUCUUGAUGAGUCUUUU